GGUGGCUCAGCGGCAGAGUGCUUGCCUCGUAUGCAAGAGACGGUGGGUUCGAUUCCUUAGCACCA
rnacentral:tRNA from 1 species